AGAAACCCUGUCUUGAAAAACCCAAAAAAAAAAAAACCUUUCAUAUCAUUUUUUUAUGUCCUUAAAGUCUGUUUUUAUAAUUGUUUAUAAUUACAGAAGAAAGUUUGAGAAGUUUAUUGGAUUGCGGUGACAAGUGGAGAGAUUGUUUUCUCUGACAUUUGUAGAAUUUGAUCAAUUAUCCUCUCAGGCAAGGACUUAGAGAUCUUGUGCUUCAGGAAGUUCUUCAGUACACUAAAAAUACCUUGAGGAGAUAGCUCUCACCCUCCACUUUGGGUUUGGGUGGGCACGUUUUCUGUGUGUCAUUCAGCAGCCUGGGGCAUUUUUCUAUAGUUUUUAACAAAGCUUUAAAAUAUUUACUUAUUUAAUGUAUGUUGGUGAGGGUUUUGUGUGUGUGUGUGUUUCUGUAUGUUUCUGUAAUGUGCCUGGUAUCAAAGGAAGCCAAAAAAGAUGUGUUGGAAUUGUUGGGCCUCUGUUUGCACAUGAUUCCUCUGAAGAGGAGCAACUGUUCUUAACUGCUGAGCCUGCUCUCCAGGGCUGCUUUUCUCCAAUUUUUAAAUUGGGUUCUUUUUACAGAGCUGUAAAAUUUCUUGUUAUUAUAGCAGUUCACAGUCAUUUUUACAUACUGUUUAUGAUUGUAAAAAUGUCAUAUCCAUCCUUAUUACCAAAGUCUAGAUAGAGUUCCGUGUAUAAAAAUGGCAUAGUUUUUGCAUAUGGCCUAUACUCAUCUGCUGUAUCAUGUGUAAUUUCUGCUAUAAUUCAAGUGCCAUGCAGUUAGAAUUGUUUUAUCAUAUAUUGUUUAGUUAAAUAUAUUUAAAUGGUCUAUAUGAGCAAUGAUAGUAUAAUAUUUUGUACUUUUUGAUUGUUUGAUUAGUGUGAAUAUCACAUGCCUGCUGUGCUCGCAUGCAUACACACACACACACACACAGUAAGGCUCAAUUCAUGACCUUUGUUUUAAGUGUUUACUAACUGGUGGCUAUCAUUAAAAUUAUCAGAGAUUCAAAAGUGAUCUCUGACUAUCAUGUGUAGUCCUUGUUAAUUUAUCUUCUAAUCUACUCAUUCUCAUUAAGAGACACUGUCUGGUUCAGUUUUGGUUUGACAUCUCAGUACUAGUCGGCUACUGAGUAUUUUGUAAAUUACAGCACAAUCCAAAGUUAACUUACCUUGGUUCAUGCAUUGAAACAUAUUUUCAAGGCAGAGAGGAUCAUUAUGUACAUAACACUUAAAGACUAGAAAGCAAAAGCUAUCAAUUCAUUGCUCAGCAGUCAAGAGUUUACUCUGAAAGCAGUACAGAUUCAUGUUCUAUCUCCAUGUUAUGUUUCUUGGGAUAAAUAUUGAAGAGGGUAGAACUUGCUUAUCCUUUAAUUUCUUCAAAUUACAAAUAUAAAUGUCAAGUUUCCAUGCCCCCCCCCCCCCCCAGUAUUACCCUGUAAAGGAAUCCUUAAAAGAUUGGUUUAAGUAUGAUUCACUUUAACACUAAAGCUGUAGGGGCUCAGGGAACAUUUCAUUAAUCCUGAAAUUUUAUUAGUAAUGUACAGAGAGCAUAGAGAGGACACAAGAAUAUACAAAUAACUUGGUUUCUAUUUGCUGAGUGGGAUGCUACAUUUUCAUUGAUAAUCACUAAGACAAGUAGAUUUCUUGUGUCUUAAUUUUGUGAGACACCAUUCACAAAAUACUAUGUGCAUAGAGUAAAUCAUUGUGUCUUUAACAAAGCUCUUAUUUGAUCCUUCUGUAGAUUUAACAGAGCUUUUUCUUUAAGAAAAUUAACAAAUGUCAAAGUAGAUUCACCUAAUUCAUCCUUCUUACUAGAUUAUUUUGUGUUCAUUUCAGACAAUAGCAAAGGGCUUUUUUUUUCUUCUUUCAUUUUUGACAUUGUAUGAAAAUCCAUGAAAGCAACAACUUGAGGAAUAGUGCAUAAAGACACUAAUAGCAUGUGCUAACUGUUGCAUUAUUUAUCUGCAAAUGGAAAUUUUAGAAUAUAUCUAAGAUUCUCUUAAAACCUUGGUAUAGUAGUAGGUAAUUGUUAUUAUAUGUAUAUUUGUAAUAACCUUUUAGAACAUUGGUUCUCAGCCUUUGGGUCAUGACUCCUUUGGGAUUAAAACAAUCCCUUCACGGGGGUGGCCUAAGAAAAUCGGAAAACAUGGAUAUUUGCAUUAAUACUCAGAAUAGCAAAAUUACAGUUAUGAAGUAACAACAAAAGUAAUUUUAUGGUGAGAGUCACCACAACAUGAGGACCUAUAGUAAAGGGUUGGGAGCAUACAGGAGGGUAAAUACCACUGUCAUAGGGCCUUACUGUGAUGUUGAGUUCCUAGAGUAGAAAGAUCCACAUGGUGCAGUAUGGCAGAUUCCAGGGCUAUGCUUCCAAGUGUCUUCUACCAAGUAGCCCCUGAAAAAUACUCUUCAUUCUUCCAGCAUCAGAUUUUGAUAGUAGUUCUGGAAGGCUAUCUCUAGUAUGCUCAAAUUGGAUUUAAAUUAAAUUUUUAAUAAGAUUAGAAUAGUUUUACCCUUACCUUUUGCCUAGCACAUGUGAAAAUUUAUAUCUUAGUGGGAAACUAAUAUUCAACAUGAGCACAUGAGCUGUUUUGUUGUUGUUGUUUUUGUUUGUUUGUUUGUUUGUUUUGUUUUUUGUGCAUGCAGCUUAGAAAUGGUAAGCAGCAUUUAGUAGAGUUAAGAAAAUUUUCUGGAAUAUAGCUUUUCUCGUGAAUAUAUGAUUACACUUUGUAUGGCCCGAAGCUUGGAUAUUUGCCUACUUCAGUCCAGUUCUGAGCCUAAUUUUAUGAGUUUAUGAGUCUACUGGGUUGUUGGAUUUAUUACCUACUAUAUCUAGAAAAAAUUAUUUAAUACCAUAUAAGAUAACAAGUGCAAUAUAUAAGUAUAUUUAAAAGCCAUCAGGCUUCUCCCCUGUUAGACUUAUGGGCGAAUUUCUUUAUUAAAUUCCUCACAUUGGUGUUAAUUUGGUUAACCAUACUAAUGCUUAAAUGAUCCUCUUGUCAUGCCUAACAUCAAUAGUUUUUUUUUUUAAGCUUUUGAGUCUAGUCGUAACUUCACUUAUAAAGUGGAGGAUCCAUAUACAAAAAUAAAUCUCAGCCAUAGCUGAUUGCUGUUUUACUGCACAAUGAAUGUAUAUUAAUCCCCAGGGCAAAUUCAUCUACCUUUGAUCUCAUACACUCGCUCCUCUCUUCUGUUUUACUUUUGAGUAGAUCAACUGAUGGUUUCUGAGUUUUUGCUUAUUUAGAUUUGUGUAGCUUGGCUUCUUUUCAGCAGUUAAAUCUGUCUACCUUGGUGUGAGUGACAAGAACCUUGUACUGAAUUAUAUUCUCAAGGCUCUACAUUGGUUUUUCCUAAGACAAUAUUGGAGAAACUAUUGUUACUUGUAAUUGUUGGGAUGUGUAGAGUAUUGGUUACUACUCACAUUACUUUUAAGAACUUCUAGGUUGAGUUGAUCCUGAGAAAACGAUUGAUGUUAUCUUAACCAACCAGAGAAUAGGUUUCUCACUUAGAUUUUAAACUUGGAAAAAUUUUAGGUUAUUUUUUUAGCUUAAAAAAUUUCAAGUGUAUUAAGAAGCCGGUUUAGAGAAUAUCUUUUUAAAAAACCAGAUUUCAAAAAUUUUGAAAACAGCUAGUUCUGUCUCUUGUCCGUAUACUUUCAGUUUUUAUACUCCUUUCAUUUUUCUUAAAAAACAGUCUGACAAAAUGAUUCCUUUUCUUUUUGUUUUAUUUUGUUUUGCGAAAAAAACCUUAAUUAGUCCUGGCUGUUGACUAUCUUAUCUUACGUGCUUAAGGAUAGCUUCAAACUCCUAGAGAUCACACUGCUUCUGCCUAUAGAGUUUUGGAACUAAAGACAUACACUAUUAUGCUUAGCUGUGCAGUGUUAUUUUUAAGCCAUGUCUAUCAUUUUCUGUAGUAUGAGAGGCAUGAAUUGUGUUCGCUGUUAACAUCAUACGCUUGUAAUUUCAGCUGCCUUGUGCUGAAGCUGUAUGAAUCCAGAGCCAGUCUGGACUAAGUAGGGAUUACAUGUUUUCAUUUAUGUUCAUAGGAUAUGAUACUCAUCCAGUUUUACAGUGGCAUGCCUUAAAAAAAUAGAUGAAAUAUAUGUAACUGUGCUUAUUCUUUGUUAUUUCUACUUAAGGGACCAGUUACUCUCCACAAGAAAACUCACACAACCACAGUGCACUUCAUAGUUCAAAUUCACAUUCUUCUAAUCCAAGCAAUAAUCCAAGCAAAACUUCAGAUGCAGUAAGUAUUAAAAUGAUGCUGGGCUGUCAAGAUUAAAAUGCAUACUGUAAAUGUUCUUAGAUGUUCUUUUAAUUUUUAAAAUAUUCAAUUGGUGUGGAGCUUAAUGUAUUUAUUUUCCUAUAUUAUAUAUGAAGUACAAAUAAUACCAGACCAACACAUUUCUAAAGUUAUUUAAGGUUUAAUUUCUUUUAGGUUUACAUAAGUUGCGUAUUUAUUCUCUGCUCUGUGCUUUGUACUUUGUUAGACAGUGAGGACAAUUUCUUGAUCCUCAGAGGCAUGAAAGAAAACACAGACCAUCAUUUUAAGUACUUAGGCAGGCUUAGAUUAAUGAAAUAACUGGAUACUUUCUAGUGUUGAAUUCAAUUGAGAUUUUUAUCUAUAUUCACUUAGCAAAAAAAAAAAAAAUACUUUAAUCAAAUAUGUGCUAAGGUGUCCUAAAACUUAGACAGUUUGGUUCAUUUUAUUGGAAGUUGUUGAUGUCUGGUGGUAACAGAAAUGCUAUCAAUUUAGAAUGUUGUUAAAACUGGGGGGCGGGGUGGGGGGAGGUCGUUAAGAAGACUUUCCAUCUCUUCCAACAAGUUGAGUAUAGCUUAGGGAGCUCAAUACUGUUUACUAGUAAAGAGAUAAAACAACGCUUAAUAAAAGACAUAGACGUGUGAAAUUGUUGGACAGGGUGGCACAGGACAAUACUGCCAGAAAUUUGAAUAAAUUUGCCAUAAUUAGCAAGAACUUUGAAGUCAGAUGUGAAUAAUAAAAUCGUGUCUUUUACUAAAGUGAAUUUCAUACAAGAGCGAAUGAAGGAUAUAAUAAAUGCAUAGCAAACACAGAUUUACAAUUUCAAAACUUACCAAAAGUGUUUAAAAUACAGGGAAGAGUAAAUAAAAGGAAAGGUGUUUGGAGAGAUGCCUCAGAGGUUAAGAGCACUUGCUGUUCUCCCAGAGUACCUACGUUCAGGUUCCAACAGUUUACAAACUGUAACUGAAUGGUACCUUUUAGCUCCCUGGGUACGUGCUCUGCACAUAGUAUGUACAUGCAGACAAAACAUAAAAUAUCAGUCUUAAAAUAUUCUUUAAGAACUUCAAAUAAAUUUCAGUAAAUUUUACCUGGGUGAUUCUCUUGCUUUAGUUGGCAUUGGAAGAUAGGUCUUAGCAUGUGUGUGUGGUUCCCUCACCCACUCUGGUCAAGUAGCAUAGUUGUAUAGAACAUUGGGAUAGCUAGUUAAAUAUUAUAGAAUUCUAAAAUGUAAUUUUAGAUGAUGUGCCAGGUCAAGUUAGGAAAUAAAUCAUGCUACUUAUUAACCAUGAGUUAAAUACAUAUAUAUGUAGACUUUAAACAAGGGCUCUUCUGAUUUUGCUCCUUUAGGGGAAAAAAAAAAGGGCCUGGAAAGAUGAUUUAGUUGUUUAAGACCAGGAUCACAACCAAAGU
rnacentral:lncRNA from 1 species